CCACGUUUCACGACAGUAGAAGGUUAAUCUACAUGACCAGGGCGCAUCGAGGACUUUCUCAGCGAGUUCUGAAGUUUUGGAGGCCAGCAAAUGUGUUUGGCAUCCAGGGAGUGCAGCUCUUAAGGACCAUACACAGUGCAAAGUGGUAAAGGCUGAGACCCUAUUCGUCUUUCAAGCCCUGCCUGUCUAGCUGGUGCGGAGAAUUGAAGAUCACCAAGUGCACCUCAGUGAAGAGUGGCUUGAUAAGAGGUUUUCAGCUGUGGUAAGUCAGCAUCCCUCUCUCGUGUCUCAGUGGAAUGGUGGCUGUUAAA
rnacentral:lncRNA from 1 species